rnacentral:rRNA from 1 species
GAUGAACGCUAGCGGCAGGCCUAAUACAUGCAAGCCGGACGGCAAGUUGAGUAGCAAUACUUGACCUAGAGUGGCGUAAGGGUGCGUAACACGUAUGCAAUCUGCCCACAGCCGGGAGAUAGCCCUCCGAAAGGAGGAUUAAUAUCCCAUAGGAAGAUGAGAUGGCAUCAUUUUAUUUUUAAACUACGGGGCUGUGGAUGAGCAUGCGGUUGAUUAGCUAGUUGGCGGGGUAAAGGCCACAAGGCGAUGAUCAAUAGGGGACCUGGGAGGUGAUCCCCACACUGGCACUGAGAUACGGGCAGACUCCUAC